UAGGGAAUCUUCGGCAAUGGACGAAAGUCUGACCGAGCAACGCCGCGUGAGUGAAGAAGGUUUUCGGAUCGUAAAACUCUGUUGUUAGAGAAGAACAAGGACGUUAGUAACUGAACGUCCCCUGACGGUAUCUAACCAGAAAGCCACGGCUAACUACGUGCCAGCAGCCGCGGUAAUACGUAGGUGGCAAGCGUUGUCCGGAUUUAUUGGGCGUAAAGCGAGGGCAGGCGGUUUCUUAAGUCUGAUGUGAAAGCCCCCGGCUCAACCGGGGAGGGUCAUUGGAAACUGGGAGACUUGAGUGCAGGAGAGGAGGGUGGAAUUCCAUGUGUAGCGGUGAAAUGCGUAGAUAUAUGGGGGGAAACCAGUGGCGAAGGGGGCUCUCUGGUCUGUAACUGACGCUGAGGCUCGAAAGCGUGGGGAGCAAACAGG
rnacentral:rRNA from 1 species